rnacentral:rRNA from 1 species
UACGUAGGGGGCGAGCGUUGUCCGGAGUUACUGGGCGUAAAGCGUCCGCAGGCGGUCAACCAAGUUCGUGGUGACAGUCUCCAGCUCAACUGGAGAAGGCCCAUGAAGACUGGUUGACUUGAGGGCUUCAGAGGGACAUGGAAUUCCGGGUGGAGUGGUGAAAUGCGUAGAGAUCCGGAGGAACACCAAAGGCGCAGGCAGUGUCCUGGGAAGUACCUGACGCUCAGGGACGAAAGCGUGGGGAGCAAACGGG